rnacentral:tRNA from 2 species
GGGAAUAGCUCAGCUGGUAGAGCACGACCUUGCCAAGGUCGGGGUCGCGAGUUCGAAUCUCGUUUCCC